ACUGGCUCCAAAAUGCAAAGGUCAGAUUUGAGUGAUUUCUUUCCACAAAUUCAUCAUAGCCUUUCAGUAAAUCCAGGAAUGUUUCAGAGUUAAGUGCCUCAUUGAACUCAAUGGGGAACCGGUCUUGCAGGUCUGUUGCAAUUUCCAUCGCUGCAGAAUUGCCUGUGUAUGGCAAUGUGUCUAAGUAGGCCUGCCAGCGCAGUCUUUGCAAUGCCUCUGUGAAGAGCUUGUGGGCCCGCAUGCUCCUGUUGUAAUGGUGGCCUGUAAUCACCCCAUCAAUAGAGCCUACAGCCACCAGUUUGGACUCAAUUAAGAUGUCCUGAAGGCCUGCGUCUGCAUAGAGCUUCCCAAUGCAGGAAAGAAAUGCCAUGGCCGCUGUCAGCAAUUGCAAUGGAGCGGCUCAGGAUCGUGUGAACCGUGUUCAGGUCAGUUGGGCUGGCAUCAAUCACAGGUAAGUAGGUCACAUUUGUAAGAGGUAAGACUGCAUCUUCCUUCAACAUAAUAUUAAAACCUGUCCACCCAGGAAGAACUUUACCCUGGGCCUCAGGGACUUUCAUUAAGAAGUAUGCUGCAUCAGUUCUCCGACCAAUUGUUUGGGCACCCCUGUUUUGAUCCUGCUGAAAAUCAAUCUCCAACCCUGAACUAUGAGGACCAGACCGCUUUCCUCUUCUGUAAUAUAGUAGGUUAAGUGGUGGAGGAUUGACUGACCGCUCUCUUGUUCUUUGUCUGGAUGUGUUUGGAACAGGUGCUGCAUCAUUACCCGUGGCUCGCUGAAUUGCGAUACCAUUGGUGUUGUGCGUUGUCCCUUUACCAGACAGGGUCUCUUCUCCAAAAUCAUUGUUGUCCCAGACCAAAGUCACAGGCACUUCAGCACAGAUGGAUUCUGAUAUGUAAGUUUCUCCUUUCUCCAUUUGCAGAUUAGCCAGGGCAGUAUCAUGCUCAAGGACCAGGGAAUUGGAUGAACAGUGGCCAAGACCAUUCAACAUUCCAAUGAGUUGUGCUGAGCCAGACAUAUGUCUAACUGCCAUGGCAAGUGCACAUUGCUUCGGCAUGAGCCAUCGUGCUUUUGUUGCCAAGAUGCCCAUGCAAUGAAAUUGAACAGCUGGUGAGGCACUACCUCAAAGGCCCUCUCCAGGGUGAGGUCACUUGCAGUGGGAGGCCAUGGAAGUUUUUCAGACGAGUUGGCAGCGUUUUGGAGGAUCUCUUUGAGGGUUCAUAUCUCCAUCACUAUCCUCAGAUGAGGAUGAAGAGGACAUGGCGACAUCCUGGAGAAUCUCCUCAGGAGAUAUAUUGUCUACAUAAACAAGGUAUGUUUUGGAGGCUUUGUGGAAUUUUAGAAAAGGAUGGGACUUAUGAAGCCUCUGUUUCAACAGGUGAUCCUUAUACGCUCCUAUGUCUUCUCCCUCUGUUUCUUUCACAGUGUCUUUGAAAAGGGUAUUGAGCCUUGCCAAGCGAAACACCUCUCGCC